rnacentral:lncRNA from 1 species
CUUGACUCUGAAAGUGACACUGCCUUCCCUGCUGUCCAGCACAAUUGGUCUCUUACACAUGAGCUAAAUGGCAAGGAAGGAGGUCAGUACACUGGCCACCAUGCAGCCUCCCUACUGUCAUUUCAGUUUUAAGCACAGGGAUGGACACAAGUAAAAGAGGAUGGACAUAAUUAAGACACUGAAAAGUGUGUGUGUGUGUGUGUGUGUGUGUGUGUGUGUGAGAGAGAGAGAGAGAGAGAGACAGAGAGAGACAGAGAGACAGAGAGAGACAGAGAGAGACAGAGAGAGCUUGGAGAAUCGUGCUGUGUUUUCCUGGGCAUCUGAGAACACGCAGCUGAGGAGGGCAGGAGACCAGCAUGGUGAAGACCUAGCCUUCUCCAAUCCUCUGACCCCCUGCUUGUUGCAUAACCCUGGACUGUCAGCCAAAGAUGACAGAGGAUCCUGAAGAUAAAUGGGUCCUCUUCUUUCCUCUUUUCUUUCCACCCCGACACCUGACGUUAGACUCUCCCCGCCCCCCUUAUCCCCAUUCCUCGUUCGACUGAUGGUUUGGCAGUGGCAGCAUGAAGGGAUGGCUGGGGGCAUCAACCCUGUUGCAGGGAUGUGGCCGUUGCUGGGAAGCUCAGGACUGUCACUCCUGCCGUCCGGUUCAGAGAUGCAAAGAUCCAGGCCAGCAUGGGGCGGUGGCCGUUCUACAUGGCUGGCCUCGUUAGGAAGUGGGUCUCAUGACAGGCAAUUUGCUGCUGCCACCUGUAUCUAGGAAUCUUUGGCUAAGACUCUGAAAUGCAUGCAACCCCCUCUUUUCUCCCAGGGUUAGUUUUCACCACAUGUUCUGUUUCUACUCAACGUACACUGUCUUGUUUGCAUUUCCAUUUAGUACCUGAAAGAGUCGGAUUGCCUCUCCUUUCUCCUAGUUAGACAGGAAGGCGCAUGUUUUAUAAUUGGGAGGAAGGCAAGGACAUAGGGGACCCCACAGUUGACAAGAGAAAGUAAAUGUCAAAGAGACAUGCGUCUGACUUGGGAAGACUUGGGGGUGCAGCAAACCCCUCCAAGGAGAACCUGAGUUUGGGCGAAAUACAGAGGUGGGGGGGUACUUCCUGUCUAGGGACUGACCAUUGACUGCCUCUUGUCAGAUAUCAGGUGGACAUCUUUCUGGUGAUUAUCUCAAUGGUAGAAAAUUUGGACAGCACAUUGUUAUUUAUAAAGCGCUUUUUAGGAGCUGUACCCACUAUUAUACAGAUUCGAAACAAGGUACAUAAGAAGCUGAUUAAUAUUAUAUUUAUAUAUCAAAUGUACAAAUGGUAUCCUAAGAUUUUGUGGGGGAGGGGAAGCAGGCAACUAUAAAAUGAUUAACGUAAGUUAAGUGAUAUCUAUUUAUUUAUUUUGCUUUUUCGGUCCGCACCCGCAGCAGAUGGAGAUUCCCAGGCUAGAGGUUGAAUUGGAGCCUCAGCUGACGGCCUACACCACAGCCAAUGCCAGAUCUGAGCCACAUCUGUGACCUAUACCGCAGCUCAUGGCAAUGCCGGAUUCUUAAUCCACUGAACAAGGCUGGGGAUUGAACCCUCAAUCUCAUGGCUCCUAGUUGGAUUUAUUUCUGCUGUGCUGCAACAGGAACUCCUUAAGUGAUAUUUAAAAAUAAUUUAGGUUCAAAAUAGAAAUCCUUUCCAAGGAAUAUUUUGAUAAUUUAAAAAUUGAGCUUCUUGCAAUUUCAUGAAAAUUGAAAGUCACAUUAUCAAAAUGGCAUCCUCUGAGCUCUGCUCAGCUCUUUUUUUUUUCCUUUCUUUUUAGGGCACCCAUGGCAUAUGGAAGUGGCCGGGUUAGGAGUUGAAUUAGAGCUGUAGCUGCCAGCUUACACCACAGCCACAGCAACGUCAGAUCUGAGCUGCAUCUGCCACCCACGCUACAGCUUGUGGAAAUGCCUGAUUCUUAACCCACUGAUCAAGGCCAGGGAUCCAACCAGCAUCCUCAUGGAUGCUAUGUCAGGUUCUUAACCUACUGAGCCAUAACGGGAACUCCCCGAUUUCUGUUCUUUAUAUUUUCAAAAGAUCAUAAACUUCAAAUAGAUGCACAUGUUAUAUUUAAUCUCAGACUAAAGAAAUAUACUAUUUUGUUCAGAAAUUAAAAAUGAGGGAAAGAAAUUAGAACUUAAAAAGCCAGGCUUUGCAGUGCAUUGAAAGGGUGUUAAAAAGAUGAAAAGUGCCUUAGUCUUCAAAAGAUCUUAUUCCAACCCAAGUCUUCCCCCAGCAGAUAAGGUCUGGCUCACUCUUAGUGUAAGGGGCACCUGUUGGGAGAUCCAAGGUCUUCUCUGUGACAGGGAGUCAGUCCCCAGCCGUAUUUUCUCCAGGCAAUUCUUUUUCUCCAUCAACCUUAUAAUUCACUUAUGCAGUUAAUAAAAAGCUAUUAAGCCAGGUGUGUUCUGGAGGUAUAGCAAUGAGUAAGAACAGUCUUAACCCUGCCCCUCGGAGUGUACGUGAGAUAUGCAAUUGCAAGGGAACCAGGGGCUUGGGGACAUUUGGCCAUUGCUCUGAAAGAAGGAUCCAAGAAAGAUGUCUGGACACUCUGCUCAUACAGCUCAUUUGAAAUUUGAGGACCGUUUAUAGAAUGGGUGCUGGCAACCCUGGCCGUUCCUAGAAUUUUGGCUUAAUCCGGCCACCAGGAACAUGCAGAGUAUAGUGGAUUAAGUUUGGUUCUGUUUAAUUUUCCUAAUCAUGGACACUGGUCUUGAAUGACUCCAAGCUCCCCUGGAACAAGAGUUGCCCCACUUUGAGCAUAAACAUUCUUCCAUCCUUGCCGACAACAAUCUCUGAGUGCCAUCCACUCAUUUCACACAGACAGCCGAGGUAACAAACUGGAUAGAAAAUGAGAAAAAUACCAGGCUGUUUGCAUUAGGACAUGGUAACCGCGAAAUGAGCAAACAUUUAAUUUUGUUUAUUGAGGUCAAGGUGAAAGCUGUUGAAUCUCUCACAACAACUUAGGGCAUUUGAUGCAGGCUGAGCGUGUUGUUCUGAAAUGUCAGAAUGUUCCAUUCUGAUAAGCAGUCAACCGGUAUUGAGUUCUCCCUUUGUGCAGAGCUCUGUGAAGUGCGACCGAAAUGCAUAAGGGGAACGAAAGAGGAUACAAUGAAAACUGGAAGCCGUGAGUCAGUCAACAGUGAAAACAAUCUGAAAAGGCUUUCUGGUUUUGGUUGAUUUCAGACUGAAUUCCUGAUCAAGGGGGAGAGGCCCACCCAGACUUUCCACGCGUGCCUUAUUUUUAGGGGUCUCUCCUUAAUGCACGGGGGCUGAUUGGGCAGUAAUUUUUGCCUACGGAGUAAGUAAGGAAAUCUCAGAACACAGCAGCCUGAAUUUAUAGGGAAGCUGUGUGCUGUCUUGGACCCAGGCA